GACGAACGCUGGCGGCGUGCCUAAUACAUGCAAGUCGAGCGGACCGAAGGGAGCUUGCUCCUUUAGGUUAGCGGCGGACGGGUGAGUAACACGUGGGCAACCUGCCCUGCAGACUGGGAUAACUUCGGGGGAACCGGAGCUAAUACCGGAUAACACCGAAACCGCAUGAUUUCGGUUGAAAGGCGGCUUUUAGCUGUCACUGCAGGAUGGGCCCGCGGCGCAUUAGCUAGUUGGUGAGGUAAUGGCUCACCAAGGCGAUGAUACGUAGCCGACCUGAGAGGGUGGUCGGCCACACUGGGACUGAGACACGGCCCAG
rnacentral:rRNA from 1 species